rnacentral:rRNA from 1 species
AGAAAGUUCCUUCGGGAACAAGUACACUGGCGAACGGGUGAGUAACGCGUAGGUAACCUACCCUUAAGCUUGGGAUAACCCACCGAAAGGUGGACUAAUACCGGAUAAUAUCUCUCUUCAUAGGAAGUUGAGAUCAAAGAUGGCUUCGGCUAUCACUUAUGGAUGGGCCUGCGUCUGAUUAGUUUGUUGGUGAGGUAACGGCUCACCAAGGCAACGAUCAGUAGCUGGUCUGAGAGGGCGAUCAGCCACAUUGGGACUGAGAUACGGCCCAGACUCCUACGGGAGGCAGCAGUGGGGAAUUUUGCGCAAUGAGCGAAAGCUUGACGCAGCAACGCCGCGUGAUCGAAGAAGCUCUGCGGAGUGUAAAGAUCUGUCAUAGGGGAAGAAAAAUUCCGUUAUUAACACCAUCGGAAUGUGACGGUACCCUAUAAGAAAGCCCCGGCUAACUUCGUGCCAGCAGCCGCGGUAAUACGAGGGGGGCAAGCGUUGUCCGGAUUUAUUGGGCGUAAAGAGUUCGUAGGCGGGUUAGUCAGUCGAAAUUGAAAUCCCACGGCUUAACCGUGGACCCGGUUUCGAUACUGCUAAUCUUGAGUGAGACAGAGGUAAGCGGAAUUCCUGGUGUAGCGGUGAAAUGCGUAGAUAUCAGGAGGAACACCGAAGGCGAAGGCAGCUUACUGGGUCUAUACUGACGCUGAGGAACGAAAGCGUGGGGAGCAAACAGGAUUAGAGACCCUGGUAGUCCACGCCGUAAACGAUGAGUACUUGGUGGUGGAGGAUUCGACCCCUUCACUGUCGGAGCUAACGCGUUAAGUACUCCG